AAUGAGAUAUUGUAAUCAAACUUGGUGUAUAGCAAGCUUAUAUGAAGACCUGGGUUGUUAUUGUAUUUGGACCCCCUGGGGUCAAGGUCAAGGUCACUGUUACUAAAAAUAGAAAAAUGGUUUUCCGACAAUAACUAGAGUUAGGAAUGAGAUAUUGUUAUCAAAACUUGGUGUAUAGCAAGCUUAUAUGAAGACCUGGGUUGGUAUUGCAUUUGGACCCCCUGGGGUCAAGGUCAAGGUCACCAUUCCUUAAAAUAGAAAAAUGGUUUCCGGACAAUAACUAGAGUUAGGAAUGAGAUAUUGUAAUCAAACUUUGUGAAAAGCAAGCUUAUUUGGAGACCCCAGUUGGGAUUACAAUUAAUUGAAAUAUUUCUUUGUACACAGUUGAUAGUUUGUGUUGAAAUUUUUCUUCAGACUACUUAUUUUUCAAAAAGUUGCUGGUGGGGGUAUUAAUCACCUUCAGUGAUAGGUCUAGUUUCGA